CCUACGGGCGGCAGCAGUAGGGAAUAUUGCUCAAUGGGGGAAACCCUGAAGCAGCAACGCCGCGUGGAGGAUGAAGGAUUUAGGAUUGUAAACUCCUUUUGUGAGAGAAGAAAAUGACGGUAUCUCAGGAAGAAGCACCGGCUAACUCCGUGCCAGCAGCCGCGGUAAUACGGAGGGUGCAAGCGUUACUCGGAAUCACUGGGCGUAAAGAGUGCGCAGGCGGGCUUGUAAGUCAGAUGUGAAAUCCUGUAGCUUAACUACAGAACUGCAUUUGAAACUAUGCGUCUAGAGUGUGGGAGAGGUAGGUGGAAUUCCUGGUGUAGGGGUAAAAUGCGUAGAUAUCAAGAGGAAUACUCAUUGCGAAGGCGACCUACUGGAACAUUACUGACGCUGAUGCACGAAAGCGUGGGGAGCAAACAGGAUUAGAUACCCCGGUAGUC
rnacentral:rRNA from 1 species